CCCACUUGGCGUAGGCUUCAUGACAUUCCCACAUGGGCAUUUGGGUUAUACCUCUGUAUAUGUUGUCUACCCUGAUAGAAUAUAAGUUUCUUAAUACAAGGGACUUUCAAUUUUGUCUUUGAAUCCCCAGUACUUAGAACAGUAUAUGGCACAUAGUUGCUCAACCCUAGAGUUACCUUAUCUAUAAAAUAAGACAGUUGGAUUUAAUGAUGUCUAGGAUUCCUUCCAAUUUUAGUCAAAGAAGUCGGCUGCUAUUUGUUCUUUUGUAGAUGACCAAUGGCAUUAUGGGGUGAUGUCUUGACUUGUGCAUGAAUUCAAUGUAAGUGAGGCAGAGUUGCACAAAGUCAUCAGCCUCACUCUUUCUUUGGGAAUCAUUGAAAUCCAGUGGCAAGACAAAAAUCACCACUGGUGGUGGCCCAGGAUGCAGUGGAUGACCUUGGUGUCUUCAGUGCCUGAUCAGGCUCUAAGAAUUCUGCAGGCUCUGCUUCAGCUGCCUUCAUGGCCACUGGAAAAAAUUGUUCUUAUUGGUCCAUUCUGCCAGGGGAAAUCUUCACAUGCUUGGCACAUAGUAAAGAAACAGAGGCUAAAAGGUUUAAGCAACUUGUCCACAGUCACAUAGCUAGUCAAAGAUGAUUCUUCUUGGCAGGGAAAACAAAACGAGAGUGAAGCAGCUCAACAGUAAAGUUCUUCCUCUGGAUGUGGAUAGUGCUCUUUCUCAUAAGUUCCUCAGAAUCGUCCUGGAUCAUUGCAUUCCUGCUAGUAGAGAAGUCCAUUACAUUCAAUCGUAUCACGGUGUAUCAGUCUCUGUGUACAAUGUUCUCCUGGUUCUGCUCCUUUCGCUCUGCAUCACUUCCUGAAGGUUGUUCCAGUCUCCAUGGAACUCCUCCACUUUAUUAUUCCUUUUAGCACAAUAGUAUUCCAUCACCAACAUAUUCCACAAUUUGUUCAGCCAUUCCCCAAUUGAUGGGCAUCCCCUCAUUUUCCAAUUUUUGGCCACCACAAAGAGAACAGCUAUGAAUAUGAUUCUACAAGUCUUUUUCCUUAUAAUCUCUUUAGGGUACAAACCCAGCAGUGCUAUGGCUGGAUCAAAGGACAGACAGUUUUUUAGCGCCUUUUGGGCUUA
rnacentral:lncRNA from 1 species